rnacentral:rRNA from 1 species
UACAGAGGGUGCAAGCGUUAAUCGGAAUUACUGGGCGUAAAGCGUGCGCAGACGGUUGCGUAAGUCAGAUGUGAAAGCCCCGGGCUCAACCUGGGAAUUGCAUUUGAGACUGCGUAGCUAGAGUGCGGAAGAGGCGAGUGGAAUUCCUGGUGUAGCGGUGAAAUGCGCAGAUAUCAGGAGGAACACCAAUUGCGAAGGCAGCUCGCUGGGACGUUACUGACGCUGAGACGCGAAAGCGUGGGGAGCAAACAGG